AUUUUUCUAUUUUCGUCAAUAGCCUCACUCUUCAGUUAUCUUUUUCAUUUCCUUCGCAAAAUCCCUAAUUAGGUUUGCUGACAAUUCCGCCAUUUUUGCAGCUUCGACCCUUCAAUCGCACAAUGGAUUAGCUCUACCAACAGGAUGUGUGAUCCUUCUGCGCUAUUUGUCAGAACUCACAUUUCCUCUGACUCGUAAGCAUCAUUGCUUAAUUAUUGGCUAUUGGCUUUCCUCUUUCGCAGCGUGUCACUGUUUAUUUAAUAUGCAUAAUUGUGAUCUCUUGUUAUAUUUAUAUCGUAAUUAGCUUUACUUCUAAAGUUUUCUUCCAGGUCAAGAUUCUUUAUUUUUGGUAUUCACCAGGAUUAUAAAAAUGUCAACGAAUUUGAAGGAUCCUAAGCAUCUUAACAAACGGAAAAGCAUUGUGUUUUUAGGAUUUUAGGUAGGAAAGGAAAAGAAGAAAGGUAAGCUAAUGGAUAAUCUGAAAUUGAAAUUGCUAUUGAUUUGAUUCGAUGAUUAAGGGCAACUUAUAAUACAUCAAUCCCUAUUUAUACCAUACCAUCAUUGAUUAGAUUAGGAUACAUAUUUAAAUAUAGUGAAACACAGAAGCCAUUCUAAAGGUGAUCAUAUAUGAUACUCUUCAAUAUUCUAAAAUGCAAUAAUGAUAUUAUUAUUAGGUACGUUUAACACCCGAUAAAGCUCACUAAGCAUUUGGUUAGAAGUAAACACAUAAAAAAGGAAAGUAAUUCAUGUAUGUAGUAUACAUGGCUUGAAAGGCUAAUGAGGGGUACUAGAUAUGAAGGAGAGAUAGUAUUACACCAAAAUUAAGUUAGCAGGACCAUUUGAAUAAUAAUGAUUAUUGCCUGAAAAGCAGGUUGGAGUAUUGCUAGACCAGGGAGGAAGAAACUUCAAUGGAACAAUGGUUAGUGAAAAUUUACUGACAAACAAUAACACACAACCAAUGGAAACGUCUCUAACAUCACCACCACCACCGACAAUUUGAUUAAAACCAAUAUGAGAAUUAUGUCUUGGGCUGGUGUGAAUCAUAGCCUAUCUCUACCUGAUUAGAAACCAAUAGGCAGAGAAGUUGCCAUAAUAAAAAAUUAGAAAGAGCCUAAUUGUUAGAACUGAGAAUGUUUCUUACCAUCUUAUUAGUUACAUUCCAUGAAAGCAAAUAAGUGAAUAACCAUAUAGUUGGUCAGAAAGGAAAAGAGGAAAAUAGAUCAAACAAGUGAUUAAGGUUUAGCAGAUUACCCAGUGUUCAAGUUUUUUCAACGGUAGUCAUUGUUUUCCUACAAUGAUUAAUAUAUGAUAAUCAGUAUCAUGAUCUGAGAAGAUAAACUAGUGUUCAAUUUGAAUUUGAGAUGGAACUUUUAGCAUUAAUCGAGUGCUUAUGGGGUCCUUCAUAUGGUUUGGUUGUACACUUCAGCUGGCAGAGUUUUAUACUCUAUAUAUAAAUGUACAACUUUUAGUAUCUGUUGGAAGUGUUUAAGCUCUUUUGGUGUACAACUUCUAGUAUUAUCUGUGAGAACGUUUGAAGUUUUUAUAGUUUUUUUAUACGAAUUUGAUUACAACUUUUAGUAUGUGUUGGGAGCUUUUAGGCUCUUUAUAUGGUUUGACAUAAACUUUUAGUAUCCACUAAGAGUUUUAUACUCUUAAAUAGUUCGUGUACAACUUUUAGUACAUCUUAAAAGUUUUUAGACUUUUUACGUAGUUUGACGGAUAACUUACCGGACAGUGAUUGAUCUCUAUAUAUAAUUGGGCUGAUAAACUAUGAUUUACUAAUUUACAACUGAUAAAAUAAAAAUAAUUAUAAUUAAGUAGUUAAUUUAUAAUUUUUCAAACAAUGAAAAAUAUAUAUUAUUGAAUAAUAAUUGAGUUGUUAUUUUUAAUUUAUAGUUAUUAAUAUAAUUAAUAAAAUUACUAAUGAUAAAUAUUCUGUACAUGUUUGAAUGUGGUAGUUGCAAGUUUAUUUACCAAUUAUGUUGUUAUAUUUUAGUCGUAAACUAAAUGUAAAUAAAAAUAAUAUCGAAGGCUAUUAUCUUUUUGUGGCUGGUAUUUAUAAUUUGUACUUAAUACUAACAUAAGGAAAGUUUAGGGAUAAAUUUAAUUUUUCAUAAAAAGGUUUUUUAUAAGGCAACAACAAAAUGAAUUCUUUUGAAAAAAAGAAUUGAAUAAUGAAACGUGGCUUGAUAAUAAUAUUUUCAUGAAUCCAUAGUUGCGACAUGGACAUGCCCUUUGUGAUAAUUAUAUAUCUUAAAAACUUCGCAAUAUACACCACACAAGAAAAUUAUUAAAUAUAAAAAAUAACUAAUAAUUUACAAUAAUAAUUAAAUAUUAAUUUAUAAAUUAAAAAUUUAUUAAUAUUUAAAAUAGUUUGAAUAAAAAAUUAUAAUUAGGUUGUGAACUAAAAGUUAAAUUAAUUUUUAAUAUUAGAUACUAAGUUUUAACAAUUAAGAGUUUAAAUAUUAAUAUUUUUUAAUUUAUAAAUUAGUAUUUAAAUUAAUUAUAUUAAAGUUAUUGUUUAAUAAAUUUUUUUCUAGUGAUAUUACGGGAUAAAAUUAUAAUCUCAUAUAUCAACUAAGUCAAAUUUAAAAGUCAAAUAAAAUCAAGUUUGGAAAAUCUACACAUCUUAUUUUGUUUUUUUUCACACCUAAUAGAUAUAGGACUUAUUUGUUUUCUAUCUGUGAAGGGUUUAUUCUAUUUCAAAUAAAACUUAUUUGAUCAAAUUAGUACAUGGAAAUUAUUUAAAACUAUUUAUUUUAUAGUUUUAAAAAUAAUAGCAUGGUUACACCUAGUUUGGACACAGUCAGUUUUUUAUUAAACGAAAAUUAGUGUUUAAGUUUUUAUAAAAAAUUUAGAAAUUAAAAGAAAAAUGUAUUCAAAGACGUCCUUAGUGAUUAUAUGGUUUCUUUUCUGAAUUGAUUAUGUAUUAUGAAAUUAAAAAGUAUUAAAAAUCAAUGUACAAAUAAUAAUAAGUUAUAUACCUUGAUCAGGCGCCACAAAAUUAUUUCUAUUUAUGAAUAAUUUUGUAGCAAUACCAUAUUAUAUAAAAAAGGAACGUUAAAAGAUCCUAGUAUCAUAUAUAUGCAGCCUAAAUAUUCUAUCAUAUUUUGUUGGUGUAUUAGAGGCUAUGGUACAUAAUUCUACUUUGUGGCCCAAUUGCCACAUUUAUUUUGAGAUUCUGAAUAAUGAGUUAUUGUAUGCAUCUUGGAAAAGACAUAUGAUAUAUUAAUAAUUUUUUUAAUAAUUUGUGGACAAUAGAUUAUCAUUAUUUUAUUGGUAUAUACAUUUCAAAUGGAUCAAUUAUAAGUUAUCAUAUAAACUGUUACUAUAUAUUGUUGUAAAAAAAGUUGUAAAAAACAUUCUCCAUUUGGAAAGAUAGCAUUUACAUGAAAAGAAGUUCAAAUUGUAGUACAACUAACCUGAAGAGUGAGUGAAGAAGAAGCAUGAAUAUUAGAAUGUCAUGUCUAUUGAUCGAGUAAUUAUGUCUAAUAACUUUUUCGAUUGUUUAAUGAUAUUUGAUCAGUUACCUUGAAAUUGUUUAAUUUGUGACUUGUAAAUGCAAGUCACGAACACAAUCGUUUUGAAAAUUACAAUGGCUAAUAUUAUGAAUCACCACUCUUUUUAUAUAUAUAUAUAUAUAUAUAUAUAUAUAUAUAUAUAUAUAUAUAUAUAUUUUAGUCAUCUACAAUACUAUCACAAUGACAUUUAAUUAAUAAUAAUUGUGAAAAGACUUGCAUUCAACCAAUAUAAAAUGAUGAACACAACUUAAUUUUGUAUGAGACAAUUAUAUUUUAAUUUGAUUUGCAUAAUAUUUACAUGUAUAUGAAUAAGUAAUGAAGUUAAUAUUUUAAAUAAAAUAAAAUAAAAUAUAUAUACCAUUUUCUUUAUUGUUGCUUAUAUGUUGUAUAAGACCUUAGGGAAAAAUCCAAAUUUAAAUGUUAUUUUGUAUGUUGAAAUAUGACUUCCACAUAUCAAAUAUCAAACGUCUAUACAAAUAUAGAUCAAUUAGACAUGUUAGGAAUUUCAUCAAUACCAAUAAGCUUAUAUCAACUUUGUUUAAUAUUUUAUCAUAAACUUUAUGAUCCAUUUAAUAUAUUCAUCUCAACAAAUUUCUAAGCACAUAGUCAUUUUAGCAUAAUCAUAAUGUCAAAUAAAUUUGUACUAUAAAUUUAUAAUUUGAAAGAUAAUUUUACAUUUGAGAUUGACAUAUCCUAGACAAUGUAUGAGAAAGGUUAUUGGUUAAAGUAAAUAGACAAUAUUCAUGGACAAUGUCAUAAUCAAUCUUGCCUACAUCUUUUUCUCAAAAUUAGUGCAACUUCCCUAUGUGAAUCCUUCGAUGGUGUUGGAAUCAUCAAAUGUCAGAGUUUCAUGUCUCUUGAUACUGGUUGGACUUUCCUUGGUAACAUCUUGCUUAUGUUUUUUUUUUUUUUGGUAAUGGAUUAGGAAUCUUUCUUUUUGUAGAAUCUAGUGAAUCAAAGUGGUGCACUUCCUAGUAUCAUGGUUGUAGAUCCUAUAGAAUUUGAAUCAAGCAUUGUACUAUAGGUCUAGACUUUUAGUCAUUUUUGUUGGAAAUUGAAGUAACUUGAUUGUGUUGAUAUCUUUUAGUAACUCUUUCUAUGAGGUACUAGGAGGGGUUGAUUUGAAAUUAUAAUUGGGUGAUGUUCAUUGUAUGGUUAAUAACUUCAAUCAUAUGAUUUGUAAUGUGAAAAAUCCUUUAUUUCCAGGUCAUUCUUAUUAUCAUAGUUGAUGGAUCAUUUUAUCAUUGUUCAAGUCUUCUUUUAUUUUGUACAACUUUUUUUGUAAGUCAUCACCUUCUUAACUUUGAUACGAGAAGCAACUCGUGAUUGGACCUUCACCAUAAUGUUCACUCUUUUUUGUAUGAUAGAUUCAUUGAAUGGAUUGGAUUAAAGUUUUUUUAAUGAAGGCAUCUACAAACAUCUUCUAUUAGGUUGAAAGAUCAUCAUGGUGAUGCUUCAAGAAUGUAACGUGUAAUACUUUCUCCAUAUAUUUGCUUUACAUCGAACAAACCACCAAAUUUGGCCAAUUUUAUCUUAUUUGUAUCAAAUUGUGUCAUGAACAAGGUUUAAAGCUCUUCAAGAGAAGAAAAGAUUCAUCAUGUAGACCAUUGAACUAACCUAGGAAAUUUUUUGCUAGUGUUAUGAUGAACAUUUGCAUCUAUCUCGCAAGAGAUCAUCAUUUAGGAAACAAACUGCUUUGAGGUGAUUGAUUGAGUCUUUAAUUUUAGAACCACGUAAUGUGUGGUUACUAGUUCAUUAUCACAUCUUAUGUAAGGGAUUGAAAAUUUCGUUACUCCAUUGUCGACUCAAUUUUUUUAUAUUUUCCAAUUAGACAUUUGUUCUUUAAGGGUCAACUAGAGUUUGUCACUUUUUUGUUACAUUUGAUUAUGGGCCCACAAAGCUUCUUCAGUACACUUUUACUUCUUUAUACAAGAUCUUUUGUACUUG
rnacentral:lncRNA from 1 species